rnacentral:rRNA from 1 species
UACGUAGGGGGGGAGCGUUGUCCGGAAUGAUUGGGCGUAAAGGGCGCGUAGGCGGCCGGAUAAGUCUGGAGUGAAAGUCCUGUUUUUAAGAUGGGAAUUGCUUUGAAUACUGUUUGGCUUGAGUGCAGGAGAGGUAAGUGGAAUUCCCAGUGUAGCGGUGAAAUGCGUAGAGAUUGGGAGGAACACCAGUGGCGAAGGCGACUUACUGGACUGUAACUGACGCUGAGGCGCGAAAGUGUGGGGAGCAAAC